rnacentral:snoRNA from 1 species
GUGGUUAAUGAUGCACACUUUUUUCCCCGUCUUAUCGACUUUGGUGAAAAACGCUGACCAUAGCCAGUUGUGUCUGAAACCAC